UACGGAGGGAGCUAGCGUUGUUCGGAAUUACUGGGCGUAAAGCGCACGUAGGCGGCUUUGUAAGUUAGAGGUGAAAGCCCGGGGCUCAACCCCGGAAUUGCCUUUAAGACUGCAUCGCUUGAAUCCGGGAGAGGUGAGUGGAAUUCCGAGUGUAGAGGUAAAAUUCGUAGAUAUUCGGAAGAACACCAGUGGCGAAGGCGGCUCACUGGACCGGUAUUGACGCUGAGGUGCGAAAGCGUGGGGAGCAAACAGG
rnacentral:rRNA from 1 species